rnacentral:lncRNA from 1 species
CCAUUUUAAUGUAAAGAAUUUGUUUUCUUCUUUUUCAGGCAACAGCUGACGCAAUACAACCCAUAUAUUUAAAUAAUAAACAAAUUUGCGACGAUAUUAUUAGAAAGUGCUCGCCUUCACGCCGUUUGGAAUCAAGAGAACUAGCAAGAAUACUUAUAAAUCCGCAUAUCAGGGAGUCAGCGUAAAACUGUUAGUCCUUCCGUUUUCUGUGACAACACAAAGGCGUACGCCGCAAAUUGGAGAAGAAGCUCGGCUAAACACUAACAUAUUGCGUAAGCGCCAAUCUAUUAUUAUUAUCUGAAUGUUAUCUUAAACACAUUGGCGCGUAUUCAUAGUCCAGCUACUAAGACGAAACUAAUAAAGAUGCAACUUAAAUUUAAGUACCAACUUAAAA